rnacentral:pre_miRNA from 1 species
CUGGUUGUGAUGGGAUGGCAGUGUAUUGUUAGCUGGUUGAAUAUCUGAAUGCACCAGCUAACAUGCAACUGCUGUCCUAUUGCAUCUGCC